ACAUGCAAGUCGAACGGAAAGGCCCAGCUUGCUGGGUACUCGAGUGGCGAACGGGUGAGUAACACGUGGGUGAUCUGCCCCUGACUUUGGGAUAAGCCUGGGAAACUGGGUCUAAUACCGGAUAUUCAUUUUUCCUCGCAUGGGGAUUUGUGGAAAGCUUUUGCGGUUAGGGAUGGGCCCGCGGCCUAUCAGCUUGUUGGUGGGGUAAUGGCCUACCAAGGCGACGACGGGUAGCCGACCUGAGAGGGUGAUCGGCCACACUGGGACUGAGACACGGCCCAGACUCCUACGGGAGGCAGCAGUGGGGAAUAUUGCACAAUGGGCGCAAGCCUGAUGCAGCGACGCCGCGUGAGGGAUGACGGCCUUCGGGUUGUAAACCUCUUUCAGCUCCGACGAAGCGCAAGUGACGGUAGGAGCAGAAGAAGCACCGGCCAACUACGUGCCAGCAGCCGCGGUAAUACGUAGGGUGCAAGCGUUGUCCGGAAUUACUGGGCGUAAAGAGCUCGUAGGCGGUUUGUCGCGUCGUCUGUGAAAUUCUGCAGCUUAACUGCAGGCGUGCAGGCGAUACGGGCAGACUUGAGUACUACAGGGGAGACUGGAAUUCCUGGUGUAGCGGUGAAAUGCGCAGAUAUCAGGAGGAACACCGGUGGCGAAGGCGGGUCUCUGGGUAGUAACUGACGCUGAGGAGCGAAAGCGUGGGUAGCGAACAGGAUUAGAUACCCUGGUAGUCCACGCCGUAAACGGUGGGUACUAGGUG
rnacentral:rRNA from 1 species